UAACAAUUUAAAAAAAGUAAACCAUUAUAGGUCAAUGUACAGCCUUCAACACGGAGCCCUGGCUCACACCGAACAACAAGCUAUAAAGGGCUCCAAAAUUACUAGUGUAAAACCAUUAAAACGGGAAAACCAACGGUCUAAUCUAUAUAAAAAAAAAAAAAAAAAACGAGAAACGAGAAACACGUAUAAAUUACAUAAACAAACGACAAC
rnacentral:lncRNA from 1 species